ACAAAGGCUCUUUUCAGAGCCACCCACGUCAUCCGACAAAGAGCUG
rfam:Myotis brandtii contig187577, whole genome shotgun sequence.